UCCAAAAUGUAAAUGAGUUAGUCCAAACUUCAGCCGAUCUAAAAAAUAUAGCUUAUCUAUAUUGCCCCAAUUACCCUUGUUACAUUUACAUGUUUUUGUUUUGGAUUUCAGAAUUUUUUUUAAGAGAGACACAAACAGAGGCGAUUUAGAGUUGUUGUUCUUCAUUAGAGAUUCGCUCUUCGGAUGUCAUCGAUGAUAAAUCUGCAAUUUGAUAAUUUUUCAAUAUGAAGAUCCUUUUUAUGUUUUUCAGGUAGAAAGCAUCUCUGGCCAACUACAUAGAGAUUUAAACUUAUGAUAUAACUCCUAAAAUGCGAGGAAUCAAAUUGGCUUAUUGAAAUAUGAAAUCAACUCAUUCUUAAUUGCCUUUUCUCUUUUAAAAAUUAUGAUCCUGACUCCUUAGCUACAAUUCACUUGGUUGCAGGUCCACUACAAAUUUGAUUUGAUGCCAGAAACUUUGUUUCUCAUGGUCAUAUUCAUUCACACAUUUCUUCCGUUUUUGAUCUCCUGAUUGAGUAAUAUAUGUUGAAUCUCUAAGAUUAAAUCUCAUAUGCUAUAUUUGGAUUGGAACCUCAUUAUGUCGGAAGCUUAGAUUAAGUUUGAACCCUUGUUUAUGUCGCUAAUCCGUUGCUUGGUUUUAAAACUCCUCCGUUCACCGGCCAUGUGAGAAAACAUUUAUCAGAAUCGGAUGAAAGAUACAUUUAAAAAAUAAAUUGUAUAUAUACAUGCUUUGUAGUCAGAUGGGGUAUAUGAGAAUUUAUAGUUUGUUAAGGCUAAACUUCUUAAUUUAGUUCAUAUUAAUGAAUAUGGAUGCACAUUAAAUCGACAAUAGUAUGAGCAUAUUCAAUUUGGUGAUGUAUGUGAGUGAUGGAGCAAGGGAAAAUAGGCAGUAGUAUAAAUCCAUGAGUCUAUCAUUACAUAAUUUGCUCUACUAUAAUGUACAGAUGUACCUAAACUUUCUAUGAUAGUUGUACCAUUUAAAUGCGUAGUACUACCUGAACUUGGUAUGAUACUUGUACCAUUUAAUUGCGCAGUACUUCAUUAAUUUGUUAAUAUUACUAUUUUUCCAAGUCAUUGAUAGUCAAGUGGUGUAGAGUUGGAGUAUCCUAGCUUGUGAAUUUUUGUCUCUCUUGGAUAUCAGCAAGUCACUGAAUCUUCCUUAAUUACUAUUAGAGGUCCUACAGAGGUAGGCUUUGAUGCAGAAAUCGCCUUGCAAGCGUGCACUUGUCUCACCCUCUCUGUUUGAUGUUGUGGAUGGUAACAAUACCGUCGGUAGUAAAAUGAGUUGCAUCUCACAAUAUUAAAGUUGGCAAGAAAAGAAAUGGGUGGGAUGAUACUAGAACUUCAUCUAUAAUGAAUGAGGAAGUGAAUAGGAGGUUUCGGAAAGAGCGUUAGUGGUGCAUAGGUGGACGAUUCAAGUUGUAUAUGGUGUCCAAAUUGGUGCAAUUUGUCUUGUCUUGUCUUUGGAUUUUCUGAAUUUUGUAGAUGUGUACAUGUUUGUACACCAGUGUAAACUAAGAUUAAAAAAAAUAAGAAUUAUAUAGUCAUAUGGGUACUCCUUUUGUAGAUUUCGGAAAGAGAUUUCCGAAUAUGUGAAGUUUGUGAA